UCUAGGGGAAUAAAGAUGGAAUGACUUCAAAUUUUUAGGUCCGUAUGAUUUGAAAUACUUGCACACAAACCGCUAGAAAGCGUUCCUGGAAAUCUCAGCCCAAAAAAGGACGUUUAGUAAUUCUAAAAGGGACUACAGGAUGAAAAACAAUAGUUCUGGCAGUUAAAGUUUGAGCUUCGAUAAUGUCGUAGAUCCGUUUGGUCAUCAGGUGUAACGAGCCACACCCAUUUCUAGCUAGAGUAGUGUGCUAGGCUCAGACUAGAGAAGAAAUGGGCAACAAACUAAUGAAAGAAUGAUCAUACCGAGGGAAUUCACUCAGAACUAACAAGAAUGAUAACGUGCUCCGACUGGAGCGGUUUAGGAACUGCUGGAAGGCUCUAGGGGAAUAAAGAAGGAAUGACUUCUAAUUUUUAGGUCCGUAUGAUUUGAAAUGUGUGCACACAAACCCCGAGAAAGCAUUCCUGGAAAUCUCGGCCCAAAAAAGGACGUUUAGUAAUUCUAAAAGGGACUACAGGAUGAAAAACAAUAGUUUUGGCAGUUAAAGUUUGAGAUUCGAUAAUGCCGUAGAUCCGUUUGGUCAUCAGGUGUAACGAGCCACACCCAUGUCUGGUUAGAGUAGUGUGCUAGGCUCAGACUAGAUAAGAAACGGGGAACAAACUGAUGAAAGAAUGAUCAUACCGAGCGAAUUCACUCAGAACUAACAAGAAUGAUAACAUGCUCCGACUGGAGCGGUUUAGGAACUGCUGGAAGGCUCUAGGGGAAUAAAGAUGGAAUGACUUCUAAUUUUUAGGUCCGUAUGAUUUGAAAUACUUGCACACAAACCACGCGAAAGCGUUCCUGGAAAUCUCAGCCCAAAAAAGGACGUUUAGUAAUUCUAAAAGGGACUACAGGAUGAAAAACAAUAGUUUUGGCAGUUAAAGUUUGAGAUUCGACAGUGCCGUAGAUCCGUUUGGUCAUCAGGUAUUACGAGCCACACCCAUGUCUAGCUAGAAUAGUGUGCUAGGCUCAGGCUAGAGAAGAAACGGGGAACAAACUGAUGAAAGAAUGAUCAAACCGAGGGAAUUCACUCAGAACUAACAAUAAUGAUAACGUGCUCCGACUGGUGCGGUUUAGGAACUGCUGGAAGGCUCUAGGGGAAUAAAGAUGGAAUGACUUCUAAUUUUUAGGUCCGUAUGAUUUGAAAUACUUGCACACAAACCGCGCGAAAGCGUUCCUGGAAAUCUCAGCCCAAAAAAGGACGUUUAGUAAUUUUAAAAGGGACUAUAGGAUGAAAAACAAUAGUUUUGGCAAUUAAAGUUUGAGAUUCGACGGUGUCGUAGAUCCGUUUGGUCAUCAGGUGUUACGAGCCACACCCAUGUCUAGCUAGAAUAGUAUGUCAGGCUCAGGUUAGAGUAGAAACGGGGAACAAACUGAUGAAAGAAUGAUCAUACCAAGGGAAUUCACUCAGAACUAUCAAGAAUGAUAACGUGCUCCGACUGGAGUGAUUUAGGAACUGCUGGAAGGCUCUAGGGGAAUAAAGAUGGAAUGACUUCUAAUUUUUACGUCCGUAUGAUUUGAAAUACUUGCACACAAAUCACGCAAAAGCGUUCCUGGAAAUCUCAGCCUAAAAAAGGACGUUUAGUAAUUCUAAAAGGGACUACAGGAUGAAAAACAAUAGUUUGGGCAGUUAAAAUUUGAGAUUCGACGGUGCCGUAGAUCCGUUUGGUCAUCAGGUGUUACGAGCGACACCCUUGUCUAGCUAGAAUAGUGUGUUAGGCUCAGACUAGAGAAGAAACGGGGAACAAAGUGAUGAAAGAAUGAUCAUACCGAGGGAAUUCACUCAGAACUAACAAGAAUGAUAACGUGCUCCGACUGGAGCGGUUUAGUAACUGCUGGAAGGCUCUAGGGGAAUGAAGAUGGAAUGACUUCUAAUUUUUAGGUCCGUAUGAUUUGAAAUACAUGCACACAAACCCUGAGAAAGCGUUCCUGGAAAUCUCGGUCGAAAAAAGGAUGUUUAAUAAUUCUAAAAGGGACUACCGGAUGAAAAACAAUAGUUUUGGCAGUUAAAGUUUGUGAUUCGAUGGUGCCGUAGAUCUGUUUGGUCAUCAGGUGUUACGAGCCACACCCAUGUCUAUCUAGAAUAGUGUGUUAGGCUCAGGCUAGAGCAGAAACGGGGAACAGACUUAUGAAAGAAUGAUCAUACCGAGGGAAUUCACUCAGAACUAACAAGAAUGAUAACGUGCUCCGACUGGCGCGGUUUAGGAACUGCUGGAAGGCUCUAGGGGAAUAAAGAUGGAAAGACUUCUAAUUUUUAGGUCCGUAUGAUUUGAAAUACUUGCACACAAACCGCACGAAAGCGUUCCUGGAAAUCUCAGCCUAAAAAGGAUGUUUAGUAAUUCUAAAAGGGACUACAAGAUGAAAAAUAAUAGUUUGGGCAGUUAAAAUUUGAGAUUCGACGAUGCCGUAGAUCCGUUUGGUCAUCAGGUGUUAUGAGCCACACCCAUGUCUAGCUAGAAUAGUGUGUUAGGCUCAGGCUAGAGAAGAAACGGGGAACAAACUGAUGAAAGAAUGAUCAUACCGAGGGAAUUCACUCAGAACUAACAAGAAUGAUAACGUGCUCCGACUGGAGCAGUUUAGAAACUGCUGGAAGGCUCUAAUGGAAUAAAGAUGGAAUGCCUUCAAAUUUCUAGGUCCGUAUGAUUUGAAAUACUUGCACACAAACCGCUCGAAAGCGUUCCUGGAAAUCUCAGCCCAAAAAAGGACGUUUAGUAAUUCUAAAAGGGACUACAGGAUGAAAAACAAUAGUUUUGGCAGUUAAAGUUUGAGAUUCGAUGGUGCCGUAGAUCCGUUUGGUCAUCAGGUGUAACGAGCCACACACAUGUCUAGCUAGAGUAGUGUGCUAGGCUCAGACUAGAGAAGAAACGGGGAACAAAGUGAUGAAAGAAUGAUCAUACCGAGGGAAUUCACUCAGAACUUACAAGAAUGAUAACGUGCUCCGACUGGAGCGCUUUAGUAACUGCUGGAAGGCUCUAGGCGAAUAAAGAUGGAAUGACUUCUAAUUUUUAGGUCCGUAUGAUUUGAAAUACUUGCACACAAACCACGCAAAACCGUUCCUAGAAAUCUCGGUCGAAAAAAGGACGUUUAGUAAUUCUAAAAGGGACUACAGGAUGAAAAACAAUAGUUUUGGCAGUUAAAGUUUGAGAUUCGAUGGUGCCGUAGAUCCGUUUGGUCAUCAGGUGUUACGAGCCACACCCAUGUCUAGCUAGAGUAGUGUGCUAGGUUCAGACUAGAGAAGAAACGGGGAACAAAGUGAUUAAAGAAUGAUCAUACCGAGGGAAUUCACUCAGAACUAACAAGAAUGAUAACGUGCUCCGACUGGAGCGGUUUAGGAACUGCUGGAAGGCUCUAGGGGAAUAAAGAUGGAAUGACUUCUAAUUUUUACGUCCGUAUGAUUUGAAAUACAUGCACACAAACCACGCAAAAGCGUUCCUGGAAAUCUCAGCCUAAAAAAGGACGUUUAGUAAUUCUAAAAGGGACUACAGGAUGAAAAAUAAUAGUUUGGGCAGUUAAAAUUUGAGAUUCGACGCUGCCGUAGAUCCGUUUGGUCAUCAGGUCUUACGAGCCACACCCAUGUCUAGCUAGAAUAGUGUGUUAGGCUCAGGCUAGAGAAGAAACGGGGAACAAACUGAUGAAAGAAUGAUCAUACCGAGGGAAUUCACUCAGAACUAACAAGAAUGAUAACGUGCUCCGACUGGAGCAGUUUAGAAACUCCUGGAAGGCUCUAGGGGAAUAAAGAUGGAAUGACUUCAAAGUUUUAGGUCCGUAUGAUUUGAAAUACUUGCACACAAACCGCGUGAAAGCGUUCCUGGAAAUCUCAACCCAAAAAAGGGCGUUUAGUAAUUCUAAAAGGGACUACAGGAUGUAAAACAAUAGUUUUGGCAGUUAAAGUUUGAGAUUCGAUGGUGCCGUAGAUCCGUUUGGUCAUCAGGUGUAACGAGCCACACCCAUGUCUAGCUAGAGUAGUGUGCUAGGCUCAGACUAGAGAAGAAACGGGGAACAAAGUGAUGAAAGAAUGAUCAUACCGAGGGAAUUCACUCAUAACUAACAAGAAUGAUAACGUGCUCUGACUUGAGCGGUUUAGGAACUGCUGGAAGGCUAUAGGGGAAUAAAGAUGGAAUGACUUCAAAUUUUUAGGUCCGUAUGAUCUGAAAUACUUGCACACAAACCGCGAGAAAGCGUUCCUGGAAAUCUCAACCCAAAAAAGGACGUUUAGUAAUUCUAAAAGGGACUACAGGAUGAAAAACAAUAGUUCUGGCAGUUAUUGUUUGAGAUUCGAUAAUCUCGUAGAUCCGUUUGGUCAUCAGGUGUAACGAGCCACACCCAUGUCUAGCUAGAGUAGUGUGCUAGGCUCAGACUAGAGAAGAAACGGGGAACAAACUGAUGAAAGAAUGAUCAUACCGAGGGAAUUCACUUAGAACUAACAAGAAUGAUAACGUGCUCCGACUGGAGCGGUUUAGGAACUGCUGGAAGGCUCUAGGGGAAUAAAGAAGGAACGACUUCUAAUUUUUAGGUCCGUAUGAUUUGAAAUAUGUGCACACAAACCACGAGAAAGCGUUCCUAGAAAUCUCGGCCCAAAAGAGGACGUUUAGUAUUCUAAAAGGGACUACAGAAUGAAAAACAAUAGUUUUGGCAGUUAAAGUUUGAGAUUUGACGGUGCCGUAGAUCUGUUUGGUCAUCAGGGGUUACGAGCCACACCCAUGUCUAGCUAGAAUAGUGUGUUAGGCUCAGGCUAGAAAAGAAACGGGGAACAAAGUGAUGAAAGAAUGAUCAUACCGAGGGAAUUCACUCAGAACUAACAAGAAUGAUAACAUGCUCCGACUGGAGCGGUUUAGGAACUGCUGGAAGGCUCUAGGGGAAUAAAGAUGGAAUGACUUCUAAUUUUUAGGUCCGUAUGAUUUGAAAUACUUGCACACAAACCGCGCGAAAGCGUUCCUGGAAAUCUCAGCCCAAAAAAGGACGUUUAGUAAUUCUAAAAGGGACUACAGGAUGAAAAACAAUAGUUUUGGCAGUUAAAGUAUGAGAUUCAACGGUGCCGUAGAUCCGUUUGGUCAUUAGGUGUUACGAGCCACACCCAUGUCUAGCUAGAAUAGUGUGCUAGGCUCAGGCUAGAGAAGAAACGGGGAACAAACUGAUGAAAGAAUGAUCAAACCGAGGGAAUUCACUCAGAACUAACAAUAAUGAUAACGUGCUCCGACUGGAGCGGUUUAGGAACUGCUGGAAGUCUCUAGGGGAAUAAAGAUGGAAUGACUUCUAAUUUUUACGUUCGUAUGAUUUGAAAAACUUGCCCAUAAACCGCGCGAAAGUGUUCCUGGAAAUCUCAGCCCAAAAAAGGACGUUUAGUAAUUUUAAAAGGGACUACACGAUGAAAAACAAUAGUUUUGGCAGGUAAAGUUUGAGAUUCGACAGUGCCGUAGAUCCGUUUGGUCAUCAGGUGUUACGAGCCACACCCAUGUCUAGCUAGAAUAGUAUGUUACGCUCAGGUUAGAGAAGAAACGGGGAACAAACUGAUGAAAGAUGAUCAUACCAAGGGAAUUCACUCAGAACUAACAAGAAUGAUAACGUGCUCCGACUGGAGCGGUUUAGGAACUGCUGGAAGGCUCUAGGGGAAUAAAGAUGGAAUGACUUCUAAUUUUUACGUCUGUAUGAUUUGAAAUACUUGCACACAAACAACGCAAAAGCAUUCCUGGAAAUCUCAUCCUAAAAAAGGACGUUUAGUAAUUCUAAAAGGGACUACAGGAUGAAAAAUAAUAGUUUGGGAAGUUAAAAUUUGAGAUUCGAUAGUGCCGUAGAUCCGUUUGGUCAUCAGGUGUUAGGAGCCACACCCAUGUCUAGCUAGAAUAGUGUGUUAGGCUCAGGCUAGAGAAGAAACAGGGAACAAACUGAUGAAAGAAUGAUCAUACCGAGGGAAUUCACUCAGAACUAGCAAGAAUGAUAACGUGCUCCGACUGGAGCAGUUUUGAAACUGCUGGAAGGCUCUAGGGGAAUAAUGAUGGAAUGACUUCUAAGUUUUUGGUCCGUAUGAUUUGAAAUACGUGCACACAAACCCAGAGAAAGUGUUCUUGGAAAUCUCGGCCGAAAAAAGGAUGUUUAAUAAUUCUAAAAGGGACUACAGGAUGAAAAACAAUAGUUUUGGCAGUUAAAGUUUGUGAUUCGAUGGUGCUGUAGAUCUGUUUGGUCAUCAGGUGUUAUGAGCCACACCCAUGUCUAGCUAGAACAGUGUGUUAGGCUCAGGCUAGAGCAGAAACGGGGAACAAACUUAUGAAAGAAUGAUCAUACCGAGGGAAUUCACUCAGAACUAACAAGAAUGAUAACGUGCUCCGACUGGAGAGGUUUAGGAACUGCUGGAAGGCUCUAGGGGAAUAAAGAUGGAAUGACUUCAAAUUUUUAGGUCUGUAUGAUCUGAAAUACUUGCACACAAACCGCGAGAAAGCGUUCCUGGAAAUCUCAGCCCAAAAAAGGACGUUUAGUGAUUCUAAAAGGGACUACGGGAUAAAAAACAAUAGUUUUGGCAGUUAAAGUUUGAGAUUCGAUAAUGCCGUAGAUCCGUUUGGUCAUCAGGUGUAACGAGCCACACCCAUGUCUAGCUAGAGUAGUGUGCUAGGCUCAUACUAGAGAAGAAAUGGGGAACAAACUGAUGAAAGAAUGAUCAUACCGAGGGAGUUCACUCAAAACUAACAUGAAUGAUAACGUGCUCCGACUGGAGCGGUUUAGGAACUGCUGGAAGGCUCUAGGGGAAUAAAGAUGGAAUGACUUCUAAUUUUUAGGUCCGUAUGAUUUGAAAUACAUGCACACAAACCCCAAGAAAGCGUUCCUGGAAAUCUCGCCCCGAAAAACGACGUUUAGUAAUUCUAAAAGGGACUAUAGGAUGAAAAACAAUAGUUUUGGCAGUUAAAGUUUGAGAUUUGACGGUGCCGUAGAUCUGUUUGGUCAUCAGGUGUUACGAGCCACACCCAUUUCUAGCUAGAAUAGUGUGUUAGGCUCAGGCUAGAAAAGAAACGGGGAACAAAGUGAUGAAAGAAUGAUCAUACCGAGGGAAUUCACUCAGAACUAACAAGAAUGAUAACAUGGUCCGACUGGAGCGGUUUAGGAACUGCUGGAAGGCUCUAGGGGAAUAAAGAUGGAAUGACUUCUAACUUUUAGGUCCGUAUGAUUUGAAUUACUUGCACACAAACCGCGCGAAAGCGUUCCUGGAAAUCUCAGCCCAAAAAAGGACGUUUAGUAAUUCUAAAAGGGACUACAGGAUGAAAAACAAUAGUUUUGGCAGUUAAAGUUUGAGAUUCGACGGUGCCGUAGAUCCGUUUGGUCAGCAGGUGUUACGAGCCACACCCAUGUCUAGCUAGAGUAGUGUGCUAGGUUCAGACUAGAGAAGAAAUGUUGGGGAACGUAGCAGAAAUUCAAAAUUUUCCUACGUGUCACCAAGAUCUAUCUAUGGAGAGACUAGCAACGAGGGAAGGAGAGUGCAUCUACAUACCCUUGUAGAUCGCUAAGCGGAAGCGUUCAAGUGAACGGGGUUGAUGGAGUCGUACUCGUCGUGAUUCAGCUCACCGAUGAUCCUAGUGCCGAACGGACGGCACCUCCGCGUUCAACACACGUACAGCUCGACGAUGUCUCCCACGCCUUGAUCCAGCAAGGAGAGAGGGAGAGGUUGAGGAAGACUCCAUCCAGCAGAAGCACAACGGCGUGGUGGUGAUGGAGGAGCAUGGCAAUCCUGCAGGGCUUCGCCAAGCACCUAUGGGAGAGGAGGAGGUGUCACGGGAGGGAGGGAGGCGCCAAGGGCUCAGGUAUAGAUGCCCUCCCUCCCCUCCACUAUAUAUAGGGGCAAGGGAGAGGGGGGAGGCGCAGCCUUGCCCCUUCCUCCAAGGAAGGGGUGCGGCUAAGAGGGGGGGAGGAGUCCAUCCUCCCCAAGGCACCUCGGAGGUGCCUUCCCCCUUUAGGACUCUCCCCUUUUUCCUAUAUCUUGGCGCAUGGGCCUCUAGGGGCUGGUUCCCUUGGCCCAUGUAGGCCCAGGCGCACCCCCUACAGCCCAUGUGGCCCCCCGGGGCAGGUGGCCCCACCUGGUGGGCCCCCGGGACCCUUCCGGUGGUCCCGGUACAAUACCGAUGACCCCGAAACUUGUCCCGAUGGCCGAAACAGGACUUCCUAUAUAUAAAUCUUUACCUCCGGACAAUUCCGGAACUCCUCGUGACGUCCGGGAUCUCAUCCGGGACUCCGAACAACAUUCGGUAACCACAUACAAACUUCCUUUAUAACCCUAGCGUCAUCGAACCUUAAGUGUGUAGACCCUACGGGUUCGGGAGACAUGUAGUCAUGACCGAGAUGUUCUCCGGUCAAUAACCAACAGCGGGAUCUGGAUACCCAUGUUGGCUCCCACAUGUUCCACGAUGAUCUCAUCGGAUGAACCACGAUGUCAAGGACUCAAUCAAUCCCGUAUACAAUUCCCUUUGUCUAGCGGUAUGGUACUUGCCCGAGAUUCGAUCGUCGGUAUACCGAUACCUUGUUCAAUCUCGUUACCGGCAAGUCUCUUUACUCAUUUCGUAACACAUCAUCCCGUGAUCAACCCCUUGGUCACAUUGUGCACAUUAUGAUGAUGUCCUACCGAGUGGGCCCAGAGAUACCUCUCCGUUUACACGGAGUGACAAAAUCCCAAUCUCGAUUCGUGCCAACCCAACAGACACUUUCAGAGAUACCCGUAGUGUACCUUUACAGCCACCCAGUUACGUUGUGACGUUUGGCACACCCAAAGCACUCCUACAGUAUCCGGGAGUUGCACAAUCUCAUGGUCUAAGGAAAUGAUACUUGACAUUAGAAAAGCUUUAGCAUACGAACUACAUGAUCUUGUGCUAGGCUUAGGAUUGGGUCUUGUCCAUCACAUCAUUCUCCUAAUGAUGUGAUCCCGUUAUCAACGACAUCCAAUGUCCAUGGUCAGGAAACCGUAACCAUCUAUUGAUUAACGAGCUAGUCAACUAGAGGCUUACUAGGGACAUGGUGUUGUCUAUGUAUCCACACAUGUAUCUAAGUUUCCUAUCAAUACAAUUCUAGCAUGGAUAAUAAACGAUUAUCAUGAACAAGGAAAUAUAAUAAUAAUCAAUUUAUUAUUGCCUCUAGGGCAUAUUUCCAACAGUCUCCCACUUGCACUAGAGUCAAUAAUCUAGUUCACAUCGAUAUGUGAUUAACACUCAAGGUCACAUUCCCAUGUGACUAACACCCAAGAGUUUACUAGAGUCAAUAAUCUAGUUCACAUUUACCAUGUGAUUAACACUUGAUGAGUUCUGGGUUUGAUCAUGUUAUGCUUGUGAGAGAGGUUAUAGUCAACGGGUCUGAACCUUUCAGAUCCGUGUGUGCUUUACAAAUCUCUAUGUCAUCUCCUAGAUGCAGCUACCACGUUCUAUUUGGAGCUAUUCCAAAUAACUGUUCUACUUGGAGCUAUUCUAAAUUGUUGCUCCAUUAUACGUAUCCGGUAUCUCUACUCAGAGCUAUCCGGAUAGGUGUUAAGCUUGCAUCGACGUAACCCUUUACGACGAACUCUUUUACCACCUCCAUAAUUGAGAAAAUUCCUUAGUCCACUAGUUACUAAGGAUAACUUUGACCGCUGUCCUGUGAUCCAUUCUUGGAUCACUCUUGUACCCCUUGACUGACUCAUGGUAAAGCACACUUCAGGUGCGGUACACAGCAUAGCAUACUGUAGAGCCUAUGUCUUAAGCAUAGGGGACGACCUUCGUUCCUUUCUCUCUAUUCUGCCAUGGUCGAGCUUUAAGUCUUAACUUCAUACCUUACAACUCAGGCAAGAACUCCUUCUUUGACUGAUCCAUCUUGAACACCUUCAAGAUCACGUCAAGGCAUGUGCUCACGUCAAGAUCACGUCGGUAUACCGAUACCUUGUUCAAUCUCGUUACCGGCAAGUCUCUUUACUCGUUCCGUAACACAUCAUCCCGUGAUCAACCCCUUGGUCACAUUGUGCACAUUAUGAUGAUGUCCUACCGAGUGGGCCCAGAGAUACCUCUCCGUUUACACGGAGUGACAAAAUCCCAAUCUCGAUUCGUGCCAACCCAACAGACACUUUCAGAGAUACCCGUAGUGUACCUUUAUAGCCACCCAGUUACGUUGUGACGUUUGGCACACCCAAAGCACUCCUACGGUAUCCGGGAGUUGCACAAUCUCAUGGUCUAAGGAAAUGAUACUUGACAUUAGAAAAGCUUUAGCAUACGAACUACAUGAUCUUGUGCUAGGCUUAGGAUUGGGUCUUGUCCAUCACAUCAUUCUCCUAAUGAUGUGAUCCCGUUAUCAACGACAUCCAAUGUCCAUGGUCAGGAAACCGUAACCAUCUAUUGAUUAACGAGCCAGUCAACUAGAGGCUUACUAGGGACAUGGUGUUGUCUAUGUAUCCACACAUGUAUCUGAGUUUCCUAUCAAUACAAUUCUAGCAUGGAUAAUAAACGAUUAUCAUGAACAAGGAAAUAUAAUAAUAAUCAAUUUAUUAUUGCCUCUAGGGCAUAUUUCCAACAGUCUCCCACUUGCACUAGAGUCAAUAAUCUAGUUCACAUCACCAUGUGAUUAACACUGACAGGUCACAUCACCAUGUGACCAACAUCCAAAGAGUCUUGGGUUUGAUCAUGUUGCUUGUGAGAGAGGUUAUAGUCAACGGGUCUGAACCUUUCAGAUCCGUGUGUGCUUUACAAAUCUCUAUGUCAUCUCCUAGAUGCAGCUACCACGUUCUAUUUGGAGCUAUUCCAAAUAACUGUUCUACUUGGAGCUAUUCUAAAUUGUUGCUCCAUUAUACGUAUCCGGUAUCUCUACUCAGAGCUAUCCGGAUAGGUGUUAAGCUUGCAUCGACGUAACCCUUUACGACGAACUCUUUUACCACCUCCAUAAUUGAGAAAAUUCCUUAGUCCACUAGUUACUAAGGAUAACUUUGACCGCUGUCCUGCGAUCCAUUCUUGGAUCACCCUUGUACCCCUUGACUGACUCAUGGUAAAGCACACUUCAGGUGCGGUACACAGCAUAGCAUACUGUAGAGCCUAUGUCUUAAGCAUAGGGGAUGACCUUCGUUCCUUUCUCUCUAUUCUGCCAUGGUCGAGCUUUAAGUCUUAACUUCAUACCUUACAACUCAGGCAAGAACUCCUUCUUUGACUGGUCCAUCUUGAACACCUUCAAGAUCAUGUCAAGGUAUGUGCUCAUUUGAAAGUACUAUUAAGCGUUUUGAUCUAUCCUUAUAGAUCUUGAUGCUCAAUGUUCAAGUAGCUUAAUCCAGGUUUUCCAUUGAAAACACUUUCCAAAUAACCCUAUAUGCUUUCCAGAAAUUCUACGUCAUUUCUGAUCAUUAAUAUGUCAACAACAUAUAAUCAUCAGAAAUUCUAUAGUGCUCCCACUCACUUCUUUGGAAAUACAAGUUUCUCAUAAACUUUGUAUACACCCAAAAUCUUUGAUCAUCAUCAAAGCAUACAUUCCAACUCCGAGAUGCUCACUCCAGUCCUCAGAAGGAUUGCUGGAGCUUUGCAUACUUAUUAGCAUAUUUCAGGAUAGACAAAACCUUCCAGUUGUAUCACAUACAACCUUUCCUCAAGAAUCGUCGACGAAACAAUGUUUUGACAUCCUAUCUGCAAGAUUUCAUAAAUAAUGCAGUAAUUGUUAAUAUAAUUCCAACAGACUCUUAGCAUCGCUACGAGUGAGAAAGUCUCAUUGUAGUCAACUCCUUGAACUUGUCAAAAAACAUCUUAACGACAAGUCGAGCUUUCUCAAUGGUGACACUUACCAUCAUUGUCUGUCUUCCUUUCAAAAUCCAUAUGUACCUAACAGCCUUACGACCAUCAAGUAGUUCUUCCAAAGUCUACACUUUGUUUUCAUACAUGGAUCCUCUCUCGGGUUUUAUGGCCAUGAGCCAUUUAUCGGAAUCCGGGCCCACCAUUGCUUCUCCAUAGCUCGUAGGUUCAUUGUUGUCUAGCAACAUGACUUCCAAGACAGGAUUACUGUACCACUCUGAAGUAGUACGUAUCCUUGUCACCCUACGAGGUUUGGGAGUGACUUGAUCUGAAGUUUCAUGAUCACUAUCAUAAGCUUCUACUUCAAUUGGUGUAGGUGCCACAGGAACAACUUCCUGUGCCCUGCUACACACUGGUUGAAGUGAUGGUUCAAUAACCUCAUCAAGUCUCCACCAUCCUCCCACUCAAUUCUUUCGAGAGAAACCUUUCCUCGAGAAAGGACCCAAUUCUAGAAACAAUUCAUAUUGCUUUCGGAUCUGAAUUAGGAAGUAUACCCAACUGUUUUGGGUGUCCUAUGAAGAUGUACUUUAUCCGCUUUGGUUUCGAGCUUAAUCCUGAAACUUUUUCACAUAAGUGUCGCAGCCCCAAACCUUUAAGAAACGACAACUUAGGUUUCUCUAAACCAUAAUUCAUACGGUGUCAUCUCAUCGGAAUUACGUGGUGCCCUAUUUAAAGUGAAUGUGGUUGUCUUUAAUGCCUAACCCAUAAACUAUCGUGGCAGUUCGAUAAGAGACAUCAUGGUAUGCAUCAUAUCCAAUAGGGUGCAACUAUGAUGUUCGGACACACCAUCACACUAUGGUGUUCCAGGCGGUAUUAAUUGUGAAACAAUUUCCACAAUGUCUUAAUUGUGUGCCAAAACUCGUAACUCAGAUACUCAUCUCUAUGAUCAUAUCAUAGACAUUUUAUCCUCUUGUCACAAUGAUCUUCUACUUCACUCUGAAAUUACUUGAACCAUUCAACAAUUCAGACUUGUGUUUCAUCAAGUAAAUAUUCUCAACAUCUACUCGAAUCAUCUGUGAAGUAAGAACAUAACGAUAUUCACUGCAUGCCUCAGCACUCAUUGGACUGCACACAUCAAAAUGUGUUACUUCCAACAAGUUGCUAUCUUGUUCCAUCUUACUGAAAACGAGGCUUUUCAGUCAUCUUGCCCAUGUGGUAUGAUUUGCAUGUCCCAAGUGAUUCAAAAAUCAAGUGAGUCAAAACGGUCCAUUUGCAUGGAGUUUCUUCAUGCAUAUACACCAAUAGACAUGGUUCGCAUGUCUCAAACUUUUCAAAAACGAGUGAGCCCAAAGAUCCAUCAAUAUGGAGCUUCUUCAUGCGUUUUAUACCGAUAUGACUUACGUGGUAGUGCCACAAGUAGGUGGUACUAUCAUUACUAUCUUUUGGCAUGAACAUGUGUAUCACUACGAUCGAGAUUUAAUAAACCAUUCAUUUUAGGUGUAAGACCAUUGAAGGUAUUAUUCAAAUAAACAGAGUAACCAUUAUUCUCCUUAAAUGAAUAACCGUAUUGCGAUAGACGUAAUCCAAUCAUGUCUAUGCUCAACGCAAACACCAAAUAACAAUUAUUUAGGUUUAACACCAAUCUCUUUGGUAGAGGGAGCGUGCGAUGCUUGAUCAUAUCAAGCAUGGAAAAACUUACAACACAUAUCGUCAGCUCACCUUUAGCUAGUCUCUGUUUAUUCCGUAGCCUUUUGUUUCGAGUUACUAACACUUAGCAACCGAACUGGUAUCUAAUACCCUGGUGCUACUAGGAGUACUAGCAAAGUACACAUUAACACAAUGUAUAUCCAAUAUACUUCUAUCGACCUUGCCAGCCUUCUUAUCUACCAAGUAUCUAGGGUAAUUCUGCUCUAGUAGUUGUUCCCCUUAUUACAGAAGCACUUAGUCUCGGGUUUGGGUUUUACCUUGGGUUUCUUCACUAGAGCAGCAGCUGAUUUGCCGUUUCAUGAAGUAUCCCUUCUUGCCCUUGCCCUUCUUGAAACUAGUGGUUCCACCAACCAUCAACAAUUGAUGCUCCUUCUUGAUUUCUACUUUCGCGGUGUCAAACAUCGCGAAUACCUCAAGGAUCAUCAUAUCUAUCCCUGAUAUGUUAUAGUUCAUCAUGAAGCUCUAACAGCUUGGUGGCAAUGACUUUGGAGAACCAUCACUAUCUCAUCUGGAAGAUCAACUCCCACUCGAUUCAAGCGAUUGUUGUACUCAGACAAUCUGAGCACAAGCUCAACGAUUGAGCUUUUCUCCCUUAGUUUGCAGGUUAAGAAAGUCAUCGGAGGUCUUAUACCUCUUGACAUGGGCACGAGCCUGAAAUCCCAAUUUCAGCCCUCAAAACAUCUCAUAUGUUUCGCGAUGUUUCAAAAACGUCUUUGGUGCCUCAACUCUAAACCGUUUAACUGAACUAUCACGUAGUUAUCAAAACGUGUAUGUCAGAUGUUCGCAACAACCACAGACAACGUUCGAGGUUCAGCACACUGAGCGGUGCAUUAAGGACAUAAGCCUUCUAUGAAGCAAUGAGGACAAUCCUCAGUUUACGGACCUAGUCCGCAUAAUUGCUACUAUCAACUUUCAACUAAUUUUUCUCUAGGAACAUAUCUAAACAGUAGAACUAUAGCGUGAGCUACGACAUAAUUUGCAAAAACCUUUUGACUAUGUUCAGGAUAAUUAAGUUCAUCUUAUGAACUCCCACUCAGAUAGACAUCCCUCUAGUCAUCUAAGUGAUUACAUGAUCCGAGUCAAACUAGGCCGUGUCCGAUCAUCACGUGAGACGGACUAGUCAUCAUCGGUGAACAUCUUCAUGUUGAUCGUAUCUUCUAUACGACUCAUGUUCGACCUUUCGGUCUUCGUGUUCCGAGGCCAUGUAUGUACAUGCUAGGCUCGUCAAGUUAACCCUAAGUGUUUCGCGUGUGUAAAUCUGUCUUACACCCGUUGUAUGUGAACGUUAGAAUCUAACACCCGAUCAUCACGUGGUGCUUCGAAACACGAACUGUCGCAACGGUGCACAGUUAGGGGAGAACACUUCUUGAAAUUGUUGUAAGGGAUCAUCUUAUUUACUACCGUCGUUCUAAGCAAAUAAGAUGUAUAAACAUGAUAAACAUCACAUGCAAUCAAAUAGUGACAUGAUAUGGCCAUCAUCACUUUGCUCCUUUUGAUCUCCAUCUUCGGGGCUCCAUGAUCAUCAUCGUCACCGGCAUGACACCAUGAUCUCCAUCAUCAUGAUCUCCAUCAUCGUGUCUUCAUGAAGUUGCCUCGCCAACUAUUACUUCUACUACUAUGGCUAACGGUUAGCAAUAAAGUAAAGUAAUUACAUGACGUUUAAGUUGACACGCAGGUCACAAAUGAAUAAAGACAACUCCUAUGGCUCCUGCCGGUUGUCAUACUCAUCGACAUGCAAGUCGUGAUUCCUAUUACAAGAACAUGAUCAAUCUCAUACAUCACAUAUAUCAUUCAUCACAUCCUUUUUGGCCAUAUCACAUCACAUAGCAUACCCUGCAAAAACAAGUUAGACGUCCUCUAAUUGUUGUUUGCAUGUUUUACGUGGCUGCUAUGGGUUUCUAGCAAGAACGUUUCUUACCUACGCAUGAACAACAACGUGAUAUGCCAAUUGCUAUUUACCCUUCAUAAGGACCCUUUUCAUCGAAUCCGAUCCGACUAAAGUGGGAGAGACAGACACCCGCCAGCCACCUUAUGCAACUAGUGCAUGUUUGUCGGUGGAACCGGUCUCACGUAAGCGUACGUGUAAGGUUGGUCCGGGCCGCUUCAUCCCACGAUGCCGCCGAAUCAAGAUAAGACUAGUAACGGCAAGCAUAUUGAACAAUAUCAACGCCCACAACUACUUUGUGUUCUACUCGUGCAAAGAAUCUACGCAAUAGACCUAGCUCAUGAUGCCACUGUUGGGGAACGUAGCAGAAAUUCAAAAUUUUCCUACGUGUCACCAAGAUCUAUCUAUGGAGAUACUAGCAACGAGGGAAGGAGAGUGCAUCUACAUACCCUUGUAGAUCGCUAAGCGGAAGCGUUCAAGUGAACGGGGUUGAUGGAGUCGUACUCGUCGUGAUUCAGAUCACCGAUGAUCCUAGUGCCGAACGGACGGCACCUCCGCGUUCAACACACGUACAGCUCGACGAUGUCUCCCACGCCUUGAUCCAGCAAGGAGAGAGGGAGAGGUUGAGGAAGACUCCAUCCAGCAGCAGCACAACGGCGUGGUGGUGAUGGAGGAGCGUGGCAAUCCUGCAGGGCUUCGCCAAGCACCUACGGGAGAGGAGGAGGUGUCACGGGAGGGAGGGAGGCGCCAAGGGCUCAGGUAUAGAUGCCCUCCCUCCCCUCCACUAUAUAUAGGGGCAAGGGAGAGGGGGAGGCGCAUCCUUGCCCCUUCCUCCAAGGAAGGGGUGCGGCUAAGAGGGGGGGAGGAGUCCAUCCUCCCCAAGGCACCUCGGAGGUGCCUUCCCCCUUUAGGACUCUCCCCUUUUUCCUAUAUCUUGGCGCAUGGGCCUCUAGGGGCUGGUGCCCUUGGCCCAUGUAGGCCAAGGCGCACCCCCCUACAGCCCAUGUGGCCCCCCGGGGCAGGUGGCCCCACCCGGUGGGCCCCCGGGACCCUUCCGGUGGUCCCGGUACAAUACCGAUGACCCCGAAACUUGUCCCGAUGGCCGAAACAGGACUUCCUAUAUAUAAAUCUUUACCUCCGGACCAUUCCGGAACUCCUCGUGACGUCCGGGAUCUCAUCCGGGACUCCGAACAACAUUCGGUAACCACAUACAAACUUCCUUUAUAACCCUAGCGUCAUCGAACCUUAAGUGUGUAGACCCUACGGGUUCGGGAGACAUGUAGUCAUGACCGAGAUGUUCUCCGGUCAAUAACCAACAGCGGGAUCUGGAUACCCAUGUUGGCUCGCACAUGUUCCACGAUGAUCUCAUCGGAUGAACCACGAUGUCAAGGACUCAAUCAAUCCCGUAUACAAUUCCCUUUGUCUAGCGGUAUGGUACUUGCCCGAGAUUCGAUCGUCGGUAUACCGAUACCUUGUUCAAUCUCGUUACCGGCAAGCCUCUUUACUCGUUCCGUAACACAUCAUCCCGUGAUCAACCCCUUGGUCACAUUGUGCACAUUAUGAUGAUGUCCUACCGAGUGGGCCCAGAGAUACCUCUCCGUUUACACGGAGUGACAAAAUCCCAAUCUCGAUUCGUGCCAACCCAACAGACACUUUCAGAGAUACCCGUAGUGUACCUUUAUAGCCACCCAGUUACGUUGUGACGUUUGGCACACCCAAAGCACUCCUACGGUAUCCGGGAGUUGCACAAUCUCAUGGUCUAAGGAAAUGAUACUUGACAUUAGAAAAGCUUUAGCAUACGAACUACAUGAUCUUGUGCUAGGCUUAGNNNNNNNNNNUGAUCAACCCCUUGGUCACAUUGUGCACAUUAUGAUGAUGUCCUACCGAGUGGGCCCAGAGAUACCUCUCCGUUUACACGGAGUGACAAAAUCCCAAUCUCGAUUCGUGCCAACCCAACAGACAUUUUCAGAGAUACCCGUAGUGUACCUUUAUAGCCACCCAGUUACGUUGUGACGUUUGGCACACCCAAAGCACUCCUACGGUAUCCGGGAGUUGCACAAUCUCAUGGUCUAAGGAAAUGAUACUUGACAUUAGAAAAGCUUUAGCAUACGAACUACAUGAUCUUGUGCUAGGCUUAGGAUUGGGUCUUGUCCAUCACAUCAUUCUCCUAAUGAUGUGAUCCCGUUAUCAACGACAUCCAAUGUCCAUGGUCAGGAAACCGUAACCAUCUAUUGAUUAACGAGCUAGUCAACUAGAGGCUUACUAGGGACAUGGUGUUGUCUAUGUAUCCACACAUGUAUCUGAGUUUCCUAUCAAUACAAUUCUAGCAUGGAUAAUAAACGAUUAUCAUGAACAAGGAAAUAUAAUAAUAAUCAAUUUAUUAUUGCCUCUAGGGCAUAUUUCCAACAAGAAACGGGGAACAAACUGAUGAAAGAAUGAUCAUACCGAGGGAAUUCACUCAGAACUAACAAGAAUGAUAACGUGCUUUGACUGGAGCGGUUUAAAAACUGCUGGAAGGCUCUAGGGGAAUAAAGAUGGAAUGCCUUCAAAUUUCUAGGUCCGUAUGAUUUGAAAUACUUGCACACAAACCGCGCGAAAGCGUUCCUGGAAAUCUCAGCCCAAAAAAGGACGUUUAGUAAUUCUAAAAGGGACUACAGAAUGAAAAACAAUAGUUUUGGCAGUUAAAGUUUGAGAUUCGAUGGUGCCGUAGAUCCGUUUGGUCAUCAGGUGUAACGAGCCACACCCAUGUCUAGCUAGAGUAGUGUGCUAGGCUCAGGCUAGAGAAGAAACGGGGAACAAACUGAUGAAAGAAUGAUCAUACCGAGGGAAUUCACUCAGAACUAACAAGAAUGAUAACGUGCUCCGACUGGAGCGGUUUAGGAACUGCUGGAAGGCUCUAGGGGAAGAAAGAAGGAAUGACUUCUAAUUUUUAGGUCCGUAUGAUUUGAAAUACGUGCACACAAACCGCGCGAAAGCGUUCCUGGAAAUCUCAGCCCAAAAAAGGACGUUUAGUAUUCUAAAAGGGACUACAGAAUGAAAAACAAUAGUUUUGGCAGUUAAAGUUUGAGAUUCGACGGUGCCGUAGAUCCGUUUGGUCAUCAGGUGUUACGAGCCACACCCAUGUCUAGCUAGAAUAGUGUGCNNNNNNNNNNNNNNNNNNNNNNNNNCGUAUGAUUUGAAAUACGUGCACACAAACCGCGCGAAAGCGUUCCUGGAAAUCUCAGCCCAAAAAAGGACGUUUAGUAUUCUAAAAGGGACUACAGAAUGAAAAACAAUAGUUUUGGCAGUUAAAGUUUGAGAUUCGACGGUGCUGUAGAUCCGUUUGGUCAUCAGGUGUUACGAGCCACACCCAUGUCUAGCUAGAAUAGUGUGCUAGGCUCAGGCUAGAGAAGAAAAGGGGAACAAACUAAUGAAAGAAUGAUCAAUACGAGGGAAUUCACUCAGAACUAACAAUAAUGAUAACGUGCUCCGACUGGAGCGGUUUAGGAACUGCUGGAAGGCUCUAGGCGAAUAAAGAUGGAAUGACUUCUAAUUUUUACGUCCGUAUGAUUUGAAAUACUUGCACACAAACCACGCAAAAGCGUUCCUGGAAAUCUCGGCCUAAAAAGGACGUUUAGUAAUUCUAAAAGGGACUACAGGAUGAAAAAUAAUAGUUUGGGCAGUUAAAAUUUGAGAUUCGACGGUGCCGUAGAUCCGUUUGGUCAUCAGGUGUUACGAGCCACACCCAUGUCUAGCUAGAAUAGUGUGUUAGGCUCAGGCUAGAGAAGAAACGAGGAACAAACUGAUGAAAGAAUGAUCAUACCAAGGGAAUUCACUCAGAACUAACAAGAAUGAUAACGUGCUCCGACUGGAGCAGUUUAGAAACUGCUGGAAGGCUCUAGGGGAAUAAAGAUGGAAUGACUUCUGAUUUUUAGGUCCGUAUGAUUUGAAAUACGUGCACACAAACCCCGCGAAAGCGUUCCUGGAAAUCUCAGCCCAAAAAAGGACGUUUAGUAAUUCUAAAAGGGACUACAACAUGAAAAACAAUAGUUUUGGCAGUUAAAGUUUGAGAUUUCAUGGUGCCGUAGAUCUGUUUGGUCAUCAGGUGUUACGAGCCACACCCAUGUCUAGCUAGAAUAGUGUGUUAGGCUCAGGCUAGAAAAGAAACGGGAAACAAAGUGAUGAAAGAAUGACCAUACCGAGGGAAUUCACUCAGAACUAACAAGAAUGAUAACAUGCUCCGACUUGAGCGGUUUAGGAACUGCUGGAAGGCUCUAGGGGAAUAAAGAUGGAAUGACUUCUAAUGUUUAGGUCCGUAUGAUUUGAAAUACUUGCACAUAAACCGCACAAAAGCGUUCCUGGAAAUCUCAGCCCAAAAAAGGACGUUUAGUAAUUCUAAAAGGGACUACAGGAUGAAAAACAAUAGUUUUGGCAGUUAAAGUUUGAGAUUCGACGGUGCCGUAGAUCCGUUUGGUCAUCAGGUGUUACGAGCCACACCCAUGUCUAGCUAGAAUAGUGUGUUAGGCUCAGGCUAGAGAAGAAACUUGGAACAAACUGAUGAAAGAAUGAUCAAACCAACGGAAUUCACUCAGAACUAACAAUAAUGAUAACGUGCUCCGACUGGAGCAGUUUAGGAACUGCUGGAAGGCUCUAGGGGAAUAAAGAUGGAAUGACUUCUAAUUUUUAGGUCCGUAUGAUUUGAAAUACUUGCACGCAAACCGCGCGAAAGCGUUCCUGGAAAUAUCAGCCCAAAAAAGGACGUUUAGUAAUUCUAAAAGGGACUACAGGAUGAAAACAAUAGUUUUGGCAGUUAAAGUUUGAGAUUCAACAGUGCCGUAGAUCCGUUUGGUCAUCAGGUGUUAUGAGCCAUACCCAUGUCUAGCUAGAGUAGUGUGCUAGGCUCAGGCUAGAGAAGAAACAGGGAACAAACUGAUGAAAGAAUGAUCAUACCGAGGGAAUUCACUCAGAACUAACAAGAAUGAUAACGUGCUCCGACUGGAGCGGUUUAGGAACUGCUGGAAGGCUCUAGGGGAAUAAAGAUGGAGUGACUUCUAAAUUUUUAGGUCCGUAUGAUUUAAAAUACUUGCACACAAACCGCACGAAAGCGUUCCUUGAAAUCUCAGCCCAAAAAAGGACGUUUAGUAAGUCUAAAAGGGACUAUAGGAUGAAAAACAAUAGUUUUGGCAGUUAAAGUUUGAGAUUCGAUGGUGCCGUAGAUCUGUUUGGUCAUCAGGUGUUACGAGCCACACCCAUGUCUAGUUGGAAUAGUGUGCUAGGCUCAGACUAGAGAAGAAACAGGGAACAAACUGAUGAAAGAAUGAUCAAACCGAGGAAAUUCACUCAGAACUAACAAUAAUGAUAACAUGCUCCGACUGGAGCGGUUUAGGAACUGCUGGAAGGCUCUAGGGGAAUAAAGAUGGAAUGACUUCUAAAUUUUUAGGUCCGUAUGAUUUGAAAUAGUUGCACACAAACUGCGCGAAAGCGUUCCUGGAAAUCUCAGCCCAAAAAAGGACGUUUAGUAAUUCUAAAAGGGACUAUAGGAUGAAAAACAAUAGUUUUGGCAGUUAAAGUUUGAGAUUCGACGGUGCCGUAGAUCCGUUUGGUCAUCACGUGUUACAAGCCACACCCAUGUCUAGCUAGAGUAGUGUGCUAGGCUCAGACUAUAGAAGAAACGGGGACCAAACUGAUGAAAGAAUGAUCAAACCGAGGAAAUUCACUCAGAACUAACAAUAAUGAUAACAUGCUCCGACUGGAGCGGUUUAGGAACUACUGGAAGGCUCUAGGGGAAUAAAGAUGGAAUGACUUCUAAAUUUUUAGGUCCGUAUGAUUUUAAAUAGUUGCACACAAACUGCGCGAAAGCGUUCCUGGAAAUCUCAGCCCAAAAAAGGACGUUUAGUAAUUCUAAAAGGGACUACAGGAUGAAAAACAAUAGUUUGGGCAGUUAAAAUUUGAGAUUCGACGGUGCCGUAGAUCCGUUUGGUCAUCAGGUGUUACGAGCCACACCCAUGUCUAGCUAGAGUAGUGUGCUAGGCUCAGGCUAGAGAAGAAACAGGGAACAAACUGAUGAAAGAAUGAUCAUACCGAGGGAAUUCACUCAGAACUAACAAGAAUGAUAACGUGCUCUGACUGGAGCGGUUUAAGAACUGUUGGAAGGCUCUAGGGGAAUAAAGAUGGAAUCACUUCAAAUUUUUACGUCCGUGUGAUUUGAAAUACUUGCACACAAACCGCACGAAAGCGUUCCUGGAAAUCUCAGCCCAAAAAAGGACGUUUAGUAAGUCUAAAAGGGACUACACGAUGAAAAACAAUAGUUUUGGCAGUUAAAGUUUGAGAUUCGACAGUGCCGUAGAUCCGUUUGGUCAUCAGGUGUAACGAGCCACACCCAUGUCUAGAUAGAGUAGUGUGCUAGGCUCAAACUAGAGAAGAAACGGGGAACAAACUGAUGAAAGAAUGAUCAUACCGAGGGAAUUCACUCAGAAAUAACAAGAAUGAUAACGUGCUCUGACUGGAGCGGUUUAGGAACUGCUGGAAGGCUCUAGGGGAAUAAAGAAGGAAUGACUUCUAAUUUUUAGGUCCGUAUGAUUUGAAAUACGUGCACACAAACCCCGAGAAAGCGUUCCUGGAAAUCUCGACCCAAAAAAGGACGUUUAGUAAUUCUAAAAGGGACUACGGGAUGAAAAACAAUAGUUUUGGCAGUUAAAGUUUGAGAUUCGAUAAUGCCGUAGAUCCAUUUGGUCAUCAGGUGUAACGAGCCACACCCAUGUCUAGCUAGAGUAGUGUGCUAGGCUCAGACUAGAGAAGAAACAGGGAACAAACUGAUGAAAGAAUGAUCAUAUCGAGGGAAUUCACUCAGAACUAACAAGAAUGAUAACAUGCUCCGACUUGAGCGGUUUAGGAACUGCUGGAAGGCUCUAGGGGAAUAAAGAUGGAAUGACUUCUAAUUUUUAGGUCCGUAUGAUUUGAAAUACUUACACACAAACCACGCGAAAGCGUUCCUGGAAAUCUCAGCCCAAAAAAGGACGUUUAGUAAUUCUAAAAGGGACUACAUGAUGAAAAACAAUAGUUUUCGCAGUUAAAGUUUGAGAUUCGACGGUGCCGUAGAUCCGUUUGGUCAUCAAGUGUUACGAGCCACACCCAUGUCUAGCUAGAAUAGUGUGUUAGGCUCAGCCUAGAGAAGAAACGGGGAACAAACUGAUGAAAGAAUGAUCAUACCGAGGGAAUUCACUCAGAACUUACAAGAAUGAUAACGUGCUCCGACUUGAGCGGUUUAAGAACUGUUGGAAGGCUCUAGGGGAAUAAAGAUGGAAUCACUUCAAAUUUUUACGUCCGUGUGAUUUGAAAUACUUGCACACAAACCCCGAGAAAGCGUUCCUGGAAAUCUCGGCCGAAAAAAGGAUGUUUAAUAAUUCUAAAAGGGACUACAGGAUGAAAAACAAUAGCUUUGGCAGUUAAAGUUUGUGAUUCGAUGGUGCCGUAGAUCUGUUUGGUCAUCAGGUGUUAUGAGCCACACCCAUGUCUAGCUAGAAUAGUGUGUUAGGCUCAGGCUAGAGCAGAAACUAGGAACAAACUUAUGAAAGAAUGAUCAUACCGAGGGAAUUCACUCAGAACUAACAAGAAUGAUAACGUGCUCCGACUGGAGCGGUUUAGGAACUGCUGGAAGGCUCUAGGGGAAUAAAGAUGGAAUGACUUCUAAUUUUUAGGUCCGUAUGAUUUGAAAUACAUGCACACAAACCCCAAGAAAGCGUUCCUAGAAAUCUCAGCCCAAAAAGGACGUUUAGUAAUUCUAAAAGGGACUACAGGAUGAAAAACAAUAGGUUUGGCAGUUAAAGUUUGAGAUUCGAUAAUGCCGUAGAUCCGUUUGGUCAUCAGGUGUAACGAGCCACACCCAUGUCUAGCUACAUUAGUGUGCUAGGCUCAGACUAGAGAAGAAACGGGGAACAAACUGAUGAAAGAAUGAUCAUACCGAGGGAAUUCACUCAGAACUAACAAGAACGAUAACAUGCUCCGACUGCAGCGGUUUAGGAACUGCUGGAAGGCUCUAGGGGAAUAAAGAAGGAAUGACUUCUAAUUUUUAGGUCCGUAUGAUUUGAAAUACUUGCACACAAACCGCGCGAAAGCAUUCCUGGAAAUCUCAGCCCAAAAAAGGACGUUUAGUAAUUCUAAAAGGGACUACAGGAUGAAAAACAAUAAUUUUGGCAGUUAAAGUUUGAGAUUCGACGGUGCCGUAGAUCCGUUUGGUCAUCAGGUGUUACGGGCCAUACCCAUGUCUAGCUAGAAUAGUGUGUUAGGCUCAGGUUAGAGAAGAAACGGGGAACAAAGUGAUGAAAGAAUGAUCAUACCGAGGGAAUUCACUCAGAACUAACAAGAAUGAUAACGUGCUCCGACUGGAGCGGUUUAGGAAUUGCUGGAAGGCUCUAGGGGAAUAAAGAUGGAAUGACUUCUAUAUUUUACGUCCGUAUGAUUUGAAAUACUUGCACACAAACCACGCAAAAGCACUCCUGGAAAUAUCAGCCUAAAAAGGAUGUUUAGUAAUUCUAAAAGGGACUACAGGAUGAAAAAUAAUAGUUUUGGCAGUUAAAAUUUGAGAUUCAACGGUGCCGUAAAUCCGUUUGGUCAUCAGGUGUUACGAGCCACACCCAUGUCUAGCUAGAAUAGUGUGUUAGGCUCAGGUUAGAGAAGAAACGGGGAACAAACUGAUGAAAGAAUGAUCAUACAAGGGGAAUUCACUCAGAACUAUCAAGAAUGAUAACGUGCUCCGACUGGAGCAGUUUAGGAACUGCCGGAAGGCUCUAGGGGAAUAAAGAUGGAAUGACUUCUAAUUUUUAUGUCCGUAUGAUUUGAAAUACUUGCACACAAACCACGCAAAAGCGUUCCUGGAAAUCUCAGCCUAAAAAGGACGUUUAGUAAUUCUAAAAGGGACUACAGGAUGAAAAACAAUAGUUUGGGCAGUUAAAAUUCGAGAUUCGACGGUGCCGUAGAUCCGUUUGGUCAUCAGGUGUUACGAGCCACACCCAUGUCUAGCUAGAAUAGUGUGUUAGGCUCAGGCUAGAGAAGAAACGGGGAACAAACUGAUGAAAGAAUGAUCAUAUCGAGGGAAUUCACUCAGAACUAACAAGAAUGAUAACGUGCUCCGACUGGAGCGGUUUAGUAACUGCUGGAAGGCUCUAGGGGAAUAAAGAUGGAAUGACUUCUAAUUAUUAGGUCCGUAAGAUUUGAAUUACAUGCACACAAACCCCGAGAAAGCGUUCCUGGAAAUCUCGGUCGAAAAAAGGAUGUUUAGUAAUUCUAAAAGGGACUACAGGAUGAAAAACAAUAGUUUUGGCAGUUAAAGUUUGUGAUUCGAUGGUGCCGUAGAUCUGUUUGGUCAUCAGGUGUUACGAGCCACACCCAUGUCUAGCUAGAAUAGUGUGUUAGGCUCAGGCUAGAGCAGAAACGGGGAACAAACUUAUGAAAGAAUGAUCAUGCCGAGGGAAUUCACUCAGAACUAACAAGAAUGAUAACGUGCUCCGACUGGAGCGGUUUAGGAACUGCUGGAAGGCUCUAGGGGAAUAAAGAUGGAAUGACAUCAAAUUUUUAGGUCCGUAUGAUUUGAAAUACUUGCACACAAACCGCAAGAAAGCGUUCUUGGAAAUCUCCGCCCAAAAAAGGACGUUUAGUAAUUCUAAAAGGGUCUACAGGAUGAAAAACAAUAGUUCUGGCAGUUAAAGUUUGAGAUUCGAUAAUGUCGUAGAUCCGUUUGGUCAUCAGGCGUAACGAGCCACACCCAUUUCUAGCUAGAGUAGUGUGCUAGGCUCAGACUAGAGAAGAAACGGGGAACAACCUGAUGAAAGAAUGAUCAUACCGAGGGAAUUCACUCAGAACUAACAAGAAUGAUAACGUGCUCCGACUGGAGCGGUUUAGGAACUGCUGGAAGGCUCUACGGGAAUAAAGAAGGAAUGACUUCUAAUUUUUAGGUCCGUAUGAUUUGAAAUACGUGCACACAAACCCCGAGAAAGCGUUCCUGGAAAUCUCGGCCCAAAAAAGGACGUUUAGUAUUCUAAAAGCGACUACAGAAUGAAAAACAAUAGUUUUGGUAGUUAAAGUUUGAGAUUUAACGGUGCCGUAGAUCUGUUUGGUCAUCAGGUGUUACGAGCCACACCCAUGUCUAGCUAGAAUAGUGUGUUAGGCUCAGGCUAGAUAAGAAACAGGGAACAAAGUGAUGAAAGAAUGAUCAUACCAAGGGAAUUCACUCAGAACUAACAAGAACGAUAACAUGCUCCGACUGGAGUGGUUUAGGAACUGCUGGAAGGCUCUAGGGGAAUAAAGAUGGAAUGACUUCUAAUUUUUAGGUCUGUAUGAUUUGAAAUACUUGCACACAAACCGCACGAAAGCGUUCCUGGAAAUCUCAUCCCAAAAAAGGACGUUUAGUAAUUCUAAAAGGGACUACAGGAUGAAAAACAAUAGUUUUGGCAGUUAAAGUUUGAGAUUCGAUAAUGCUGUAGAUCCGUUUGGUCAUCAGGUGUAACGAGCCACACCCAUGUCUAGCUAGAGUAGUGUGCUAGGCUCAGACUAGAGAAGAAACGGGGAACAAACUGAUGAAAGAAUGAUCAUACCGAGGGAAUUCACUCAGAACUAACAAUAAUGAUAACGUGCUCCGACUGGAGCGGUUUAGGAACUGCUGGAAGGCUCUAGGGGAAUAAAGAUGGAAUGAGUUCUAAUUUUUAGGUCUGUAUGAUUUGAAAUACUUGCACACAAACCGCGUGAAAGCAUUCCUGGAAAUUUCAGCCCAAAAAAGGACGUUUAGUAAUUUUAAAAGGGACUACACGAUGAAAAACAAUAGUUUUGGCAGUUAAAGUUUGAGAUUCGACGGUGCCGUAGAUCCGUUUGGUCAUCAGGUGUUACGAGCCACACCCAUGUCUAGCUAGAAUAGUAUGUUAGGCUCGGGUAAGAGAAGAAACGGGGAACAAACUGAUGAAAGAAUGAUCAUACCAAGGGAAUUCACUCAGAACUAACAAGAAUGAUAACGUGCUCCGACUGGAGCGGUUUAGGAACUGCUGGAAGGCUCUAGGGGAAUAAAGAUGGAAUGACUUCUAAUUUUUACGUUCGUAUGAUUUGAAAUACUUGCACACAAACCACGCAAAAGCGUUCCUGGAAAUCUCAUCCUAAAAAAGGACGUUUAGUAAUUCUAAAAGGGACUACAGGAUGAAAAAUAAUAGUUUGGGCAGUUAAAAUUUGAGAUUCGACGGUGCCGUAGAUCCGUUUGGUCAUCAGGUGUUACGAGCCACACCCAUGUCUAGCUAGAAUAGUGUGUUAGGCUCAGGCUAGAGAAGAAACGGGGAACAAACUGAUGAAAGAAUGAUCAUAUCGAGGGAAUUCACUCAGAACUAACAAGAAUGAUAACGUGCUCCGACUGGAGCAGUUUAGAAACUGCUGGAAGGCUCUAGGGGAAUAAAGAUGGAAUGACUUCUAAUUUUUAGGUCUGUAUGAUUUGAAAUACGUGCACACGAACCCCGAGAAAGCGUUCCUGGAAAUCUCGGCCCAAAAAAGGACGUUUAGUAAUUCUAAAAGGGACUACAGGAUGAAAAACAAUAGUUUUGGCAGUUAAAGUUUGAGAUUCGACGGUGCCGUAGAUCCGUUUGUUCAUCAG
rnacentral:lncRNA from 1 species